GCUUGCAGUUAAAGCCCUGAGCUGAGCUCAGUUCCCUCAGUCUCCUCAGAUCUGAUCAGUUUCUCACUGCCCUCUGUUUCCCAUUUGAAAAAUAUGGCUGGAAAUGAUUCUUUCCUUUUGGUUCUUAAGAUAUAGGAGCUUAAAAUAAAAAACUUUGUCUCUAUACAGAGUAACCAGAUCAACAGGCUUUCCCCAUCUUCGUUAAGCUGUUGAGAUGUUACUGUACCAGAAAUCUAUUUCUCUGAUAUAUGGCUCCUGUGACCAGCGUUGUUUAUAAAGAUGCCCGUCACUCUCCAUUACAUGCUUCCCCCAUUGUUAUUGCAGGAAUUCCAUCAGAAGGGCAAAAAAUAACUCGCUGACUGUGAGAACAAAGGCCCUGAUUCAUGACAAUUCAUUUUGAGAUGGCAAAAGCAAUUUAUUAUACCCAUGUAGCAGUUACGGUCAAGUUACUGAUUCCAGGAUUUUAUUGCUAUUAUUUGGAAGAUGAGCCAUUUACACUUUUAUGGUCUGAGGCCUGAAGAUACUUUAGGAACGCUAAUUAGAGCUUUUUGCACUCCUUGAAGGGAGGAAGAUUUUUUUGUGCAGGAUUAGCUCACGCUCGCUAGAAGGAGGGUAGGGGAUUAAGUUGCUUGCCUGGGUAACAGUGACAAGUCUGCUGUAACAGCUAAGGAAUUUGGGGACUCCCUGUUGGCUCUGUUGCCUGCUUCACCCCCCUUAACUUGUUGAAGGAGCCCCAGUUAUCAUCACAGCUCUAGGCUCCCUUGGAAGAGCAGAGGAAAUGGAGAGCUGAGAGGGGUGGCUGGGGAAAGCAGCUUCUGCUGGGUGGGCAUGGGAGACUGAGCGAGACAUGGCAGAGUGUGAAGGGAAGGAGCAGCCCCAGGAUUCAGGCACUGAGAUGCAUUCCUGAUGCUGCUGUAGUGGUCCUGUGUGAGGUCAGAGGCAUUCACCCACCUCUCAGCUGGAAACCCUAAAGGCAGUGUGUUCUACUGGAUGUUUAUCUGAGCUCUAUCUGUGUGUGCUUCAAACUGGGUCCGUGAAAAAUGCUGUAAAAUUCAAAGUUCUUUGUAAUAUCCUGCCAUGGAAUGCUGUUGACCUGCGGUGAUGCUGUCCUCUCCAUUUUCUUCUCAAGAGGUGAAUAAGUCUAUUUGCCCCCACCACAGGGGAGACAGGAACACAAAAAGCUCAUGUGGCAUUAGGGAAUUGGGUCAGAGAAAAGGAAGAAUAUGAUAGUCUGAAAGAUGAGCAUACGCUUAUGUGUAUUUGGGAAAAUAAUGGAGAUAAAAACAUAAACGAGUAUAAAAAAACAUGCAGACGUUUUGGAUUGCAAAGGACAGUUCUCUUGUCCUAUGGGUAAGGACAGCACAAGUUCUGGGGCACUGAGCUGGCAGUCCCACUGGGCUGCUGUAAACAGGGACAGAUGCACUCAGGUGUUGCCACCUCUUGUUGGCAGAUUGAAGCACUGAGUGCCAGCGGUGGCACACAGGGUUGGCAGAUCACGUUUUCACAAAGCCCCUGUGAAAGCAAACACACAUUAGUGUGUUAAACACAUUAGUCAUCAGGCGUUUAAUUACCUCUUUUCACCUAGGACUCAGAUGACCUCUAAUAAACAAUAUCUGUGUUCAGAAGAAUGGGCACGAAUUGAAACAAGCACUGAGAAGGUCUGAUGGCAAGUGACUUCUUCCCUAAGGUCAUGCAGGAAGUCUGCAGCAGAAACCUGCUCUGCCAUAAACCCAAAGCCAUUCCUUCCUGCUAGGAACGCACUUCAGCCCGAGUGAUUGUGCUUGUGUACCAGGCUGCAUUCACAAGGACAGGUGAAAAGGAGGAAAUCCUUUUGGAGUCCUGGGGACUCCAUUGCCUGCCCUUGAGAUGAUGGGAGGACUCCUUGUCUUCGGUGAACUUGGUGUGGGGCCACGGUGAGGCUGUCCUGCAGAGCUUGUGGGGAAACUGCAGGCCAGAAGAAGGGUGGCUGGAAAAUUUACUGAGAUAGUGGGAAAGAAGGAGAGAGGAGAAGUUGCACUGUUGGGGUGGAAAUCAGCGCUCCCUGUUCUGACUGCUGUCCCAUGGUCAUUGCAGCCACACACUUCUGACCCAAGCUGUUGACUGGGGGUCUGUCCUGCUUCACCAAACAGUGAACCACGUAGAAACUCUGACCCAGAACUUCUGUGGGGGACACCUGCACUGUGGAAAGAAAGAAGAGAGUCCAAAAGAAUGCUCCAGACAGAAUGGUUGUUGCCUGGUACUUCUGAAGGAAUUAACAUCCGAUUGAACUCCAUGUAUGCAGAGAGGACAAGGCACCCUUCAAAUCUUGGUGUUGCAUCUCAAUCCUGUGACCAUUAUAGAAUCACUAAGGUUGGAAAAGACCACUGAAAUCAUCAAGUCCAGCCAUCAACCCCUCACCACCAUCAUCCUGCAAACUGCAGCUGCUUGUUUCUGGAGGAGUGAAGGAAAGAAGAGAGGUACUCAUGAUUCUACCUAUGUCAUAUUGAGCAAAUAAAUCCUUGACGCUGGAGGACCUUUGCUAGGGGUCUGUAGAUAGAUAUUGCCAUGUUAUAUAUUGGUAGAUUUUCUUCUGCUUGUUGUUUUCUUUUGUUUGUGUGUGUGUAAUUAGAAAAGUGUGACUUACAAUGGGAGAUUUAAUGGGGAAUUCUACAUGCAAUUAAGCAGUUGUUAAUAACACCAAUACAUAGGUGAGAAUUUCAAGGCUUAAAAUGGGAGCAGGAGGGUUUAGUUAUGAUGCUGUUUCCAUAUGUAUGGAGUGUGAAUAUAUUUUAUUCAAGUCACAGUGGAUUAAAAAGAUCUGCUGAAUUUUCUUAUAGCGUGCUCACUGGGUAUAUACAAGCUAACCUCCUGUACAUUUUUUUGUCUCAUAGGAUGUUCAAACACUUUCUUUAAGGAGCCUCUUCCACUGAUUACUGGAGACAUAUCCCAUGAUUUUUAUGAUUGACUUUACUUUCUUGAUUUGUACUUACGUUAAUGCUUCAGUAUGAUGGCAAUGAUAAAAUUUAGGUGUAUGUCUCCAUGUUUCCCAAAGGUACAGGGACACACUGACAUGGCCUGGAGUAAUGGAAAGUCCACGUCUCUCAGAAUUGCAUCAAAAUAGCUGCGAAGACGUGCAUUUCAUUAUUUACAAAACAUUUUUUUCAUAUCAUUUUGAUGUAAAACAAAUUUUGUAUUUUCAUUUCUUCUGUGGUUGCAGCACAUUGCAGUGUCAUGGAACGCAUCUGCUCCAGAGCUGUCAGAGUUGGGGCAGUUCUAACACAGGGGGGCUGAAAUCUCAUGCAUGUGAUAAAUUGAUGCAAAAAGCAAACAAGUCAUAUAAGCCAAGGCACUGAUAACCAGGAGCACUGGGCCAGGACUAAGUAUAUGGAAAUAUUGCAAUGAUACCUGCUUCUAAAUCUUAGGUGUUUUUUUUUUUUUCUUAUCCUUAAGAGACCAUGGGGAAGUUGUAGCUAUAGCACUGUGUCUGCAGGUUAGCAGAAUCCUGGCUCUCUGUGAAGCCAUCAGAGCAAGCCAUAAAGGAACAUCAAUGAAAAUCAGAGUCAGAAUGGUUUCCACUGUUACUCCAAGUGACCAGGAAGGCUCGGCCAACCGGUGGUUUAGGAUUAACACGUGCAUCAACUCACAUGGACAAUUCCAGUCAAGCCAGGAACUGUCUUUUCUAUGGUCACAAGGAAACAAUGCAAGUCACCUGGCAUUUUUUUCCCAAAUUGCAGAGUUUCCUUUCUUCUGGAAAACUUCACAUUUGCAAAGCAGCACGUUUACAGUGGAUUCCCACAUCAGAAGCAGUGACAUCAGUGAUUCCUCUUGCAGCUUCCCAUCAGCACCCCAGGGACAGGGCUGGGCUUCCUCUGGUCGCAUGCACUGAGCUCUGGGGACAGCAGGUGCUGUAAUACACUGCAGUGCUGCUGCUCUUGCCGGGCAUUAAAGGCAGCAAACGUUGUAGGUGUUCCACAAUGCUCAGCCAAUGCCAGCACCUGAUCGCUCUUUACUUCUCAGUGAUAAUUAACAUCUUGUUGGCCAGUGGCAGCAGAAAGCAGUGACUGCAUACUCUUUCUAUUCCUGCACGCUCAGUGCUGAUGAGCCUAAUACAGGUGAUUUGGGGGUAUGGAUUAUCUGAGGUUUUAUUCCUAAGGGGGUGAGCUGUUGGCAGUAGCCUUUUGGGUGAGUCAAGCUAAAUAUGAUUUCUGCUGGUUUUUAAGCUUGCUCAGAUGUUCCUCUCAGGAUAUGCAGUGACACACUUUGCAUGGUUCCUGGAAAUUGAAGCUGCUUUCACAAUGCUUUUAGGCUUGUUUAGGGUUCAACAGACAACAUAUUGAAGCUGUUUGAUUUAAUGCACAGUGAUUUCACAAGCUGUUAACUGGUUAAGGAAAAUUUCCCAUUUAGCUUCUUGCUGGUCUUUUAGGUGUUGCUCAAUCAGUUUACCUGUUAGAUUUUGAGGUGGCCAGUAGUCAGUUCUCUGAUCAUUCAGGUGUGGCUUGGCUAUAUAUUAAGAUGAUUAUUAAGAUGAUAUGGAUGAGAAUAUGCUACUGACAAACUGUAGGAAAUAGCUUGUGUUCCCCUGCAAGGACUAGAACUCUCACGAAUCUAUGACUGUUUUAUGACUUUCCCAAGGAGACACCUCUCACCACGGAGACAUUAAAGGUUUGUUGCAAAGAUGGUUGGAACUGAUCCCAUUGAGGUUGUCUGGGUGGAAAGUAUGUGUGUGAGUUUAUGCAUCCUCACACACCCUUUGUUUCUCUUCCAUGCAGCCAGGAAGCAGAUUCAUCUCCCACCAUGUAUAUUCAUCAGGUGUUUUAUGACCCCAGGUCCUACUCAAGGAAACAUCCAACUUAGCUUGAUGGAAGAUUUACCCAAGUAGUGGUGUCAUUAAUAGCACCCAUGAUAAAAGUGGAGCAUCACCCACUGUGAUUGUAUGGAGCAUUGCAUGAUAGCUGGGAUGUCCGUAAAAUGGACACAAAAUUAACUACAGCUGCACAAAUAGGUGAUUAAACUAGUUUUCUCAUGCUGUAACUGAGUUAGCCCUCUUUAAUACUCAUUUAAGAAUUCUUUCUCUUUUAUAGGACUGUAAUAUGCAUGAGCCCAUUCCUUUCCACCCUUCCUAUUGCUCUACAGCAAUGUCCUGUUUAAUACCCUACUUUUAUUUCUUAUUACUUCUUGCAGUCGAUCUCCUCUCUUCAUCCUGUGUCCUGGGAAGCUUAGCCAAGCACAGGGGAACGUCUUGAGGGGAAGUAGUGGAAAAGGAGCAGAACCACACCAAAGUUGUUACACUGGUCCCAUAGGACAACACACAGCCACAUCUCAGACAUAUGCAGCAGCCUGUGUGGGGCAGGAGGGACCAGGGAACAGACCUCAGUGAUGGCUGCCUCUCCCACAAGCAGGAUGGGGAGCUCUUGCUUCUACACCAGUACAUGGAAAAUUUUGUUUGUUUAAUUCUCCAGUGAGGCUGU